rnacentral:tRNA from 1 species
CUCCCACAAGUUUUUCCGUUGCAUUUUCUAUGUUUGGCAUGAUUGGGAUAUGAGUACUUGGCUACCCUAAGUCG